rnacentral:rRNA from 1 species
GGAUUGAACGCUGGCGGCAGGCCUAACACAUGCAAGUCGAGCGGCAGCACGGGUACUUGUACCUGGUGGCGAGCGGCGGACGGGUGAGUAAUGCCUAGGAAUCUGCCUGGUAGUGGGGGAUAACGCUCGGAAACGGACGCUAAUACCGCAUACGUCCUACGGGAGAAAGCAGGGGACCUUCGGGCCUUGCGCUAUCAGAUGAGCCUAGGUCGGAUUAGCUAGUUGGUGGGGUAAUGGCUCACCAAGG